rnacentral:rRNA from 1 species
GACGAACGCUGGCGGCGUGCCUAAUACAUGCAAGUCGAGCGGACGGAUGGGAGCUUGCUCCCAGACCGUCAGCGGCGGCCGGGUGAGUAACACGUGGGCAACCUGCCUGUAAGACUGGGAUAACUCCGGGAAACCGGGGCUAAUACCGGAUAACUCUUUCCCUCACAUGAGGGAAAGCUGAAAGAUGGCAUCUCGCUAUCACUUACAGAUGUGCCCGCGGCGCAUUAGCUGGUUGGUGGGGUAACGGCUCACCAAGGCGACGAUGCGUAGCCGACCUGAGGGGGUGAUAGGCGACACGGGGAGUGGGACGGGGCCAAGGGGCCUGCGGGAGGCAGCAGUAGGGAACCUGACGCAGUGGACGGGAGUCUGACGGAGCGACGCGGCGUGAGUGAUGACGGCUUUCGGAGCGUAAAGCUGUGUUGUGAGGGAAGAACAAGUACCGGAGUAACUGAAGGGAGCGUGACGGUAACGGGUCAGAAAGCCACGGCUAACUACGUG